rnacentral:misc_RNA from 1 species
GAUGAAGAACGUAGCGAAAUGCGAUAAGUAAUGUGAAUUGUAGAUUUCAGUGAAUCAUCGAAUCUUUGAACGCACCUUGCGCUCCUUGGUAUUCCGAGGAGCAUGCCUGUUUGAGUGUCAUUAAAUUCUCAACUCUCCAACUGUUGUCAUGACUGGUGGUAGAGCUUGGACGUGAGGGUUCUGCCGGCUCCUUGUUGAGUCUGGCUCCCUUGAAAAUGAUUAGCGCAGCUUUGCACUGUCCGCUUCAGGUGUGAUAAUUUAUCUACGCCCGACUAGCGACGCGCAUGAAUGGCUUUGUGCUUCUAACCGUCUCGAAAGAGACAAUACCUUUUGAACUUGACCUCAAAUCAGGUAGGACUACCCGCUGAACUUAAGCAUAUCAAUAAGCGGAGGA